GGCUCGUUGGUCUAGGGGUAUGAUUCCUGCUUUGGGUGCAGGAGGUCCCGGCUUCAAAUACCGGACGAGCCC
rnacentral:tRNA from 1 species